AUCUGCAGCUAAGAACACUUUCAGGCAAAUACAGCUCUGCUGAUCAUCCCUAGAAGGACAACCAUAUUAUAGGACCAGCAGGUUUGUAUAUCCACUGUGCAGUAACAUACCAAUUACACUGAGACAGCAAGGUUUGCAACAGAGAAAGAGAUCCAUGAUCAUAGGGCACUGAGUGAGGAGAUGGGAGGAGACCCUCAAAUCCAUCUCCCCAAGGAAUUCUGGGCUGGGUUUUUUAAGGGGAUCAUGGAGGGUGAGGGACUAGAGAAUUGGAGCUGUUGAUUGAACAGGGAAAGGGGGAUGAAAUCAUCAGAAUGUGAAAACUGCAUUCUUUGGCAGUCAGAUUCUCAUGGGGUCCUUCAGACCGGCUGGCAUUAUAGUCUUAUUAGUAUGCAGGACCUGAAGGACUAUCUCAAAAGGAAAACUUAAUGUUUUUUAAUAUUCAGGUUGUUAUCUAUAGAGCAGUUAAGGGGAGCUAUAAACUUGUAACAGAGUCUAUGUGAUUGUGGGACAAUAGGUACCAAAAAAUAUGAGGAAGCAGGUCAGAGAGCAGGCUGACUUAAUGAUUAAUGCUGAAUAUGCUGCAAGCUUGGUUUAUUUUCAUUUAUCCUCCCGUUUUUCCUGAUUAAUUUUAUAAAGUUCAUAGGGGUGGUUUCAAACACAUGAGAAAUUACAACCUUUAUUAUCAGAGUCAGAGCCUGACUAUAUUGAUUGAAUGAAGCUUUCCUUAUAAAAUGCAAAGUAUGUAAACAAUUCCAACACAGUAACAUAUUCAUGAGUUUUUAAAUUCAUGAGUUUUAGAGAAGAGAAAAUAUUUUACUUAAAACUGGCACAUGAUGAUCUCUGACAAUAUUAUGUAGCCUGAACCUGGAGUUUUGGCUGAUGGAUUGUCUCAGCCUGUGGCAGAUUUUAGCUGGCUUUGGUUCAUUUUGUAUCACACCCCCACACUCACAUGCUCACACACUGUCUCACUUCAGACUGCCAUCACAAAAUGCGAUAGACUGGGCGGCUCAAAUAACAGAAAUUUAUUUCUCACAGAUCCAGAGGCUGGGAAGUCCAAGGUCAAGGUGCCAGCAGGCUCAGGUCCCCAGUGAGGGCUCUCUUCCUGUAUUCCAGGCGUCCACCUUGUUACCAUGUCCUAUGGCAGAGACAGAGUGAGAGAUGGAUGGGGAUUGAGAGAGAGAGAGAGUGUGCACAUUGCCCCGGUCUCUUCAUCUCCUUAGAACACCGAUCCCAUCACGGGAACCUGGUCCUCAUGACUUCAUCAAAACCUAAUUACUUCCCAAAGGUUCCCAUUUCCAAAAACAUCACAUUGGGGGUUACAGCUUUAACAUGAACUUUAGGGAGAUGGAAACAUUCAGUCCAUAACACACACCCUGUGAUAUACCCCCAUAAAAUAAAUACAUUGAGUGGCUGUUGGGUUUGUCUUCGGGUGGAAGGGUCUGGUCCUCUGAGCUUCCAGAUAGGGUUCUUGAAUGAUCCACACCACAUCUGCUUCAGUGUUGUCCAAGGAGCUGGUACAAAAGUACAGACUCUCAGGCCCCACCCUGGACAUUUCAAGUUAGGGUCUCUGGGGCUGGGGCCAGGAAUCUGCAUUUUGGACCAAUCCUUCUUUCCUCCACUUGCCUGCCCAGAAGAUUCUAGCAGCUCCCAAAGCUUGAGGACCACUGCUCUGUGCCUCUGCAUCCUCUGGAGAUUUUCCAAAACUGGUGUACCUUCUUAAAUCAGUUGUCUUUAUAAUGACUAUGACACAUAAAGCCAUGUGAUAUAACAAAGGCUGAGCAGGAUGCAGAAAGGGCUUUGUGACUAUAGCAGGCUUUGGAACAUGGAUUUAAUGAGCUACUACUUUGGAGGAAGGCACCUUGAUGAUCAUAUUUUAUAGACAAGGAAGAUAAAAUGCUGGAAAGUUAAGUGACUUCUCCAGGACCACACAACCAACACCUUCUUUGCUGAUGCACCGUGCUUUGUUGACUCCCUUGUCCUUGGAAGCCCUGGAUUCACGUCAUGAGGGAUGAAGUUAACCAUGGCUCUGGAAUUCCAUCUCUGGAUCGUGUGUCAUCUCAGAGCAUAUUAUCUUCAACAGAGUCUGGAACAUUUCCUUCAACAUGUGCCUGACACUUCUGUAAUACCUUCCUACCCCCUUUUUUUAAUUGUCUCCUGUAAAAAAGUAACCUGGGAAAACACAGUAUCCUUUGCAAGCUUGAGCAACUCCACCAUAUUGGCUCACUGCUGCACAAUAAACAACACAUUUCAAUGUCA